GCACAGUGACCAAUCAGGGCAAAGAGAUGGAAUCCCUGUCCCUCGUCCUGCUUCUCCUCUCCCCAGCGUUCGCUAUGCCAAUGAGGCGGUUGGUGUCCUCCUCAGAGACGUCCUCUGAGUCUGAGUCCCAUGAGUCCUCCUCCUCCUCCUCCUCCUCCAUUGAGUCCUAUGACUCAGCUUCCUCCUCCUCAGAAGAAGAAGAGGAGCGUUCCACCCCUGGUACACUGGCCCCUCCCACUGUUGCCGUAACAACUAUCACAGCGGCGGACGUGGACACGACUGCAAUGGGACCAAUCACGGAGGGGAGCACGCCCACUGCGGCCACGCCCAUUAUGGUGACGGACGCGUUGACAGGCAGCGUUACCUUCACAGAGGAACGGAUCGGAUCGCAAAGGUGCGGAUUGGGUCGCGUUUCCACCGCCAAAAGUGGGCGUGACCCGGACUUAGCCGUACCCGUUUUGGCCUCGUUUUCAGGACUCCUCCGUUGGGGUACUGAAAACGAGACGAGACGCCUGAAAGGGUCCCGGGAAAUUCUAGCUACACACCCCCUCCGUUGAUUGGUCGACAGAAUCAUCACUUCCGGGCGACGUGGGGAUAAAAACAAACAAACAGUAGCCUCGAGGUAUUAUUCUUUACAAUUAACAUUUUCAAGAUGGCCACCAUUUCUGUCAAAUAGUCAUAUGGCUUUGUCUGCCUCCUCUCCUUUGACCUGUCCGGCCUAGUUAAACUUGCCAGGGAUAUAAAAUCCCCGCCGGCACAGCUCUCAGGUUCAUUGGAGUACACAAGCCUCUCCACCACGGCAAGGUGCAGUCCACAGAGAGGAAGGGCCACUGGGAAGUGGCCAGUAAAAAUUCAGGAUGGAAACCAUUUUUCAAGGUGACUGCCAUUCCUGUCCUAUGUUCAUUGCCACUGUUUCCAAAUAGUGAUACAGAAAAUAUGCCUCUAUUAAGGCCACUAUUAUUAUUAUUACUACUAUUAAAAUUGUAGGGCCAAUAAAAAAUUCAAGAUGGAGACUUUUCCAUUUUGGUAGUAUGUACACUGAUGCACACAUGCAUGUUAGCAAAAUAACGGCCACACUUUUAGAAAAGGGCAAUCGCAAAAAUUCUAGAUUCAUUUUUCACGGUGGGUGUUGCUUUAAUAGUGUACUCUGUUGGGACUGAGUUAAAAGGAAGGAUAAAAAAAAAGUUGUAUUCACAUUUUGACCAGCUCAAAGGCCUUCUGGUUAGACUGUCGAACCUGAGAUUGAGAGUUUGUGCCCUGUCGAGUCAUAAUAAAGACUGUUAAAAAUGGUAGCCAAUGCCUCCCCUACUUAUUUUUUUAUUCACAUUUGCAAUUGCACAGUUCUGUGCAAGUGAACCACAAUCUAAAACAUUUGCAUCUUCCACGGCACUCUGAUUUGCAGCCAGGCCCGGUUCCAGAACAGAAUGCCUUGGGGUGCAUCUGAGAUUACAGGGGGUGCACCAGUACUAUACUAAAACCAGCUACCCAGCUUCAGUUCAGACUUCGCUUUUUUACACACAGGCUUUUCCUACCAUAGACAAGCACUUCUGCGUAGUUCUACUGACAUGUUGGGACAACAAACAAUUACUGUGCUUAAAAGAUGGUAUCAUAUCAUGUCUUGGGAUGUGGAGAACAUUUCAGCCGAAACAUUAGCUUAUUGAUAUCUUAGAUAGCUUUGAAUAUGAGAUAGGUUUUUGAGGUGUAAAAAAGAACAGAAUUCUACACAAAAAAAAAAACAUGUGACUGCAAUUCAAAAAUAACGAUUAUUUUUUUUAUAAAUUGUGGCAGGAUAAAAAAGAACAGAAUUCUACACAAAAAAAAACAUGUGACUGCAAUUCAAAAAUAACGAUUAUUAAGUGGCAAUUGUACAUUGCCACUUACAAAUAAAACAGAUUUUAGCUGAACAAGGAAAGAACACUUUCAGACUUUGAACUUUGAACAAAAAGUAAUCAUACUCUUAAAGUUAACACGAUUGUAAAUAAAUGCAAUAAAAAGAAAUAUGGGUUCUUAUGAACAUAAUACAUUUAAUACAUGUAUUGGAUAUCCAACGGAUAUAUAACUGUUGCUGCCGAAGAAGUUCAACGUCACUACCGUGCGCACCAUAGAUAUACUAUAUGGGUGCGUGCAUUUUGCACACGAUGCCGGCCGGCGGCCAAUCACAGCAGCGCUGAUAUAGAGCGACAACAUUGCGACCUCGAGUGUGAUAUUGCUUUAUACAACAGUUAUACUAGUAAAAUGUACUGUUAAUAAUAAUAAUUGACAAUAGAUUUUGAUUUGUUUGUUUAUUUAAUCAUAUAAACGAAUGAAAUUGCUUCCGGCAACAAAAAUAGAUCCCCACUGAGCGGACUGUUGCCAAGCAACAUAUAAACAAAACACCACACAUAAAUGCGGAGUGAUUUUGUCAGUUUGGUGAACAGUCUGAGUGAUGUUGGAUGCUGAUAUCUCAACGGUAUUUAAUGGAAAUUGUCACAGGUUUCAUUACAAUUUGUUUUGUGAGCAAGUAUUUUAUUAUUUUUUAUCAUAUUUAUAAAAAAAAUAAUCUUUUUUAUUUUUUUUCAAUUGAGGGUGCAAACAUUUUUUUUGGGGGUGCAAUGCAUGCUUAUGCACCCCCGUAGAACCGGGCCUGCAAUGACACACCCACCAAACGACCCAGAAAUGGUUGCAGAACCAUCAGAAUUACUCUCAACCAGCAUAAUUAAUGUAAUUUUGGCUAAAAAAGUUGCAUAUUGGGCCUACCGAAUUAAAUUAAAUUCGGAAUUAAAUUCCGAAUUAACUUUCAUUAACUCCAUUAAAGGCCCACUAUGCAACUUCGGGAAUUUCUUCGCUGUUUUCUUGGUUUUGGCACGCACAUUUCUCUACACAGCGCCCCCUACAGCUUUGUAGUAGAUAUUUUACAACACUGUCGUAACAACUCGUUGACGACCCUUCCCCAUGCACUUCUACGCGAGCCAUGUGCAUUUGUUUUCAAAGAAGCCGGCGAAUGCGUGGAGCCAUGUCCGAAGUAGAUUAUCAUAAAGUGUAGGCAAGGUUAUACAUAAAAGGGUGUAUUUGUAUUGCAAUAAACAUAAAUCCAUCCUUUUUUAUAGUUGACGGGGAGAAUUUAUAUCCUAGAUUAUAAUUGUUUUAUCUUAGGUUGAACAGAACAAUCAGUGUAAGAGGUUUGGCCAACAUAAUAAUCUAAAUAAACAAGAACCUGGAUUCGGGGAUUCAGUCUGUAUCUGGGGGACGAGACAGACGAACAGCAAAACACCCAUGGAAACAAAGGUGUUUAUAUGGUUGCAACCAAGCAAGCUAGAAACAUACAGGGCUCACAACAAAACGGUCGGGAAAACAAUUUUUACAGGGCUCACAACAAAAUGGUUGAGCAAACACAUUUGUAAAGAGACUAUCAACAUCAAGAAUACCACGAAGACAAAGGCCACCCAAGGGUACUUUCAAUUUCAAAAGCAACACGGCCGAGUCGGCGUCUGAUUUGCAGUCUUCUUUUUCUUUCAGUUCACGCUAUUCCUGAAAAGCUUGCCCAACGUUUACUCGUGUCUGGCCUCUCUGCCGGUCAGUCUCCCUUUUCUCUUCUUCUGUUCCUCCGACAUUGGGCUUAUCUGUCUCUCGGCUGAUAUAUGAUGAAUAUAACAAUCCCUAGUGACUUGUGUUUAUAUCGAGCCGGUUCCGUGUUUGGGGGUCUGUGCCGUAAAGCAAUUCGUUACUUCGCGAGACCCGAGACUCCCCCGAGAGUGGGCGGCGGGUCGCCGGCAGAAACAUAUUCCUUUUCUCCGCCAAGAUGCCCAAGGGUGAGUCGAAACAACGAACAAUCGAACAAAAAUGUAUAAUAGAACCAUCGCAAUGACUCUUAGCCUGUUAUAUUAAGGUAAAUCAAGCCAAAAAAGUUGCAUAGUUCCCCUUUCACUCGUGUCUGAUCUCUUUUCUGGUCCAUUCUUCUUUUGUUCCGUCGACGGUCGCCUCUUGGGUCCCUUAUCAGUCGAUUGAUCCAUGAUGAAUGCAACAAUUGCCUCGCAACUGGCUGUUUAUAUCUAGCCGGUGCCAUGUUUGGGUGUGUGUCUGUGCCGUAAAGCAUUUGCGAAACUACAAUCUGACUACAUUUUCGAGGAUACUUCCGCUGCGUCACAUCCGGAUUGUGUCGGUCCGAACAGAGCAAGUUGCAUAUGCGCUUUUUCACUGGAGAGGCGACAUGGGUAAAUGACACACCCACCAAUCGACCAAGAAAUGGAUGCAGAACCAUCAGCAUAACUCUCAACCUGCAUACUUAAUGUAAUUUUAGCUAAAAAAGUUGCAUAGUGGGCCUUUAACUUCCGAAGUCUGAGAUUUGUCCUUUUACUUAACAUGAAUGGCGUUGAACACGGAUAUAUAACACACAUAUCAUUGAAAUAGCUGUAACAGGCACGGACGUAUUGAUUACCUGAAUGAUUAUGGGAGACCUACGUAAUUUUCAUAAUAUUGUUAAUUGUCUAAUAUUAACAUUUCAGUUGCGUUGGUAGGUAUUUCAUUUUCAUUUGCUUGUUUAGCUAUGUUUGACAGGGUUAUGGUUAGCUAUGUAUGACAGUUAACAAUGUUGGUGUAU
rnacentral:lncRNA from 1 species